CAAUAUUCUCCAUUGUGUCCUGAUUUGGUCUUCAUGGUUACCCUUACAAAAACACUGACUUUGUUUCUCAAAUACAGUAAGUGCUUUUUGUUGGGGUAGUUUUGCUGAUCUCUGCAACA
rnacentral:pre_miRNA from 1 species